rnacentral:rRNA from 1 species
UACGGAAAGGAAGUUUAGUAACUAAUGUGUUAGUGGCGGACGUGUGAGUACGACGUAGGAACCUAGACUUUAGAGGGAAGUAACAAUGAGAAAUCAUUGCUAAUACCGCAUAUGCCAUAGUUAUUACAUGAUAACAGUGGAAAGGAGCAAUUCGCUAAAAGAUGGCCUUGCGUCUGAUUAGAUAGUUGGUAAGGUAACGGCUUACCAAGUCGACGAUCAGUAGCCGGACUGAGAGGUUGAACGGCCACAUUGGGACUGAGAUACGGCCCAGACUCCUACGGGAGGCAGCAGUCGGGAAUAUUGCGCAAUGGAGGAAACUCUGACGCAGUGACGCCGCGUAUAGGAAGAAGUUUUUCGGAAUGUAAACUAUUGUCGUUAGGGAAGAGGAAGGACAGUACCUAAGGAGGAAGCUCCGGCUAACUACGUG